GCCAAUCAGAAAGCAUUAUUAUGCUACGUCAUACCAAGUUUUAAGUCAACUAAUAUAAAAUCGGGCCAGGCGUUUGGGCCAUUAAUAAUAUCCACUGCCAAUAUGAAGCCCACCUCAGCAAUACCAAAUCUCCAAUGAAAGUUAUUAAUUUAUUAUCGUGGCUGACUCUUCUUCUUCUUAGCUGUGUGAACGCUCACGGUCUAGCUCCUCCUCUCAAUUGAUGAUUUUGAGAAACGUCUGCAAUUAUGACAUUCAAGGAGAGGGAUCGCCGUCGAUAGUAUCAACGGUGGAGAGAACGAAGACGAACCGGAGAAGAAAAGUGAAGAAGAGCAGAGAGUAAAACAUCAUCUGAUACGAGAAUCUUCUAGAACCCACCUUCUUUUUUAUGAAUUCUCUCAAUCCUUUCCCCGUGACCACCGUCACAUGUCUUAAGCUCGGAGAUAUAUGCAGCUGCAUCUCUCUGUUUAUGUCUUUGUUUUCCUCUUUCUUCUCUUAUCUGAAUGUGGGUUUCUUUGAAAGGAGAUGGAUGUCCGAAGAGGAAAUAUUGAUCUUACGUUGUUAUGUAUUGUUUGAUUAUUCAAAAGGGUCUAUGUCAUUCACCUAACCUUGCUUUGUGUUUAGGUUACUAAUGGCAGAUCGUAUCUGAUUUCCCGUUGUUCAUUUUGUCUCAGGUGAUUUGGCAAGGAAGAGCCCAAGACUCACGGUUAACAGAUGAGAGCUAAGAAACAGAGGAUGUCGACCAUUGACACCAGAAGAGAUUGAGUCAUUCCUUUUACCUCAAGGUUUCUCCUAGAUAUGUCACAUUAUACUUUACCGGAUCUUUUGCUCUCGAUGCAACAAUAGUAGUUGGUGGCCUUCCCAGGAUUUGGGUGUUGUAGGGUCUUGAAGAAAACAACACGGGCUGAAGCAUUAAGCAUAGAAACAAGGGGGACCUGUGUGUUUGUACAUGCUGAGCAUUCUAUUGACUCGCCACUUGCUAGGGUGAUCUGUAUAAACACAGAAAAUAUACUUCUAUCACAGCCUAAUUGGCGCGAACAAGCCCUUAGUCGUGCGGAUACUUCAAUCCGAAGUGGUUCGGUUGGUGUUAUUGUUGCUGACAGUGUAAUUUAGGAGCACUUGAGUAUAAGAUGGGUGAUGCUCAUAUGAUUAUCCAAGCCGCUACGUGUCUUGAACUUCAAAGCAUGGUAGUAUUGAAAAGAAAAGGCUCGCCAAGGUAAUAAAGAAAACAGUAAAAACUCGAGGAAGAGACGUCACUAACCAAUCUCAGAGUCAGUACGUUAGAGCAGAUACCAGAUUAUGAAAGAGUGUUUUGUGGAGAAGAUAGCUGGAGUCAUUGUAGAAUUUGUAAUCAGCGGAUGAUAACACAUUGUGGUCUGGUUUAAAAGAAGCUAAAUGAGAAACUAUCUAUACCAAAGUUAUAUUAUUUUCUUGGAAAUGAAGUGUGUGAACCUUCGAACAGGCAUGGAGAUUCUGCAGAUGAGGAGAGUAAGAGGAACUCUGCAAGUGAUGGGCCAGCGAAAGCUAAGAGCCCAAGAUGUGAGAAGUAGAGCUCCCAUUCAUCUUCUCACUUAUUGCAUGCUUCAAUGAUGUUUAAGUCUUUUUUUCAGUUUAAGUAUUGACUUAUGAUUUCCUUUCAGUUUUUGCUUUUCAGUGUUUUUUUUCCUUGAAACAUUUUAUCUACUUUGCAUGAUUAGCAGCUAAAAAUCAUGUUUACAGUUUUAUCA